rfam:Rattus norvegicus chromosome 3, whole genome shotgun sequence.
GGGGAUUUGGCUCCGUGGUAGAGCGCUUGCCUAGGAAGCGCAAGGUCCUGGGUUCGAUCCCCAGCCCCG